GCUCAGAUUGAACGCUGGCGGCAGGCUUAACACAUGCAAGUCGAGCGGUAACAUUUCUAGCUUGCUAGAAGAUGACGAGCGGCGGACGGGUGAGUAAUACUUAGGAAUCUACCUAGUAGUGGGGGAUAGCACGGGGAAACUCGUAUUAAUACCGCAUACGACCUACGGGAGAAAGGGGGCAGUUUACUGCUCUCGCUAUUAGAUGAGCCUAAGUCGGAUUAGCUAGAUGGUGGGGUAAAGGCCUACCAUGGCGACGAUCUGUAGCUGGUCUGAGAGGAUGAUCAGCCACACCGGGACUGAGACACGGCCCGGACUCCUACGGGAGGCAGCAGUGGGGAAUAUUGGACAAUGGGGGAAACCCUGAUCCAGCCAUGCCGCGUGUGUGAAGAAGGCCUUUUGGUUGUAAAGCACUUUAAGCAGUGAAGAAGACUCCAUGGUUAAUACCCAUGGACGAUGACAUUAGCUGCAGAAUAAGCACCGGCUAACUCU
rnacentral:rRNA from 1 species